rnacentral:ncRNA from 1 species
UAAAGGUUUGGUCCUAGCCUUAUAGUUAAUUGAAAGUAAGCUUACACAUGCAAAUUUCCAUGUACCUGUGUCAAGCUCCUUGAAACUUACUAAUACAAGUUUAAGGGUCUGAUAUCAAGCUCAUAAAAUUAUAGCUUUAGACAUCUAGCUUAGCCACACCCCCACGGGAGACAGCAGUGAUUAAAAUUUAGCAAUAAACGAAAGUUUGACUAAGCUAUACUUUAUAGGGUUGGUAAAUUUCGUGCCAGCCACCGCGGUCACACGAUUAACUCAAACUAACUAACCCCCGGCGUUAAAGGUGUUAUAAUAAAUUAAAAAUAGAAUUAAAAAUCAACAAAUACGUAUAAGUUUAUCGUUUGAACCUAAAACCAAUAACGAAAGUAAUUCUAAUUUAUCUAUACACGAUAGCUAAGAUCCAAACUGGGAUUAGAUACCCCACUAUGCUUAGCCCUAAACUUAAAUAAUUUAAACAACAAAAUUAUUUGCCAGAGAACUACGAGCCAACGCUUAAAACUCAAAGGACUUGGCGGUGCUUUAUAUCCAUCUAGAGGAGCCUGUUCUAUAAUCGAUAAACCCCGCUAAACCUUACCAACUCUUGCUAAUCAGCUUAUAUACCGCCAUCUUCAGCAAACCCUAAAAAGGCAUUCAAAGUAAGCAAAAGAAUUGACAUGAAAACGUUAGGUCAAGGUGUAGCCUAUGAGUUGGAAAGUAAUGGGCUACAUUUUCUUACUAAGAACAUUACGAUAUCCUUUAUGAAAUCUAAAGGACUAAGGAGGAUUUAGUAGUAAAUUAAGAAUAGAGAGCUUAAUUGAAUAAGGCCAUGAAGCACGUACACACCGCCCGUCACCCUCUUCAAUAACCAAGAACCUUAGAUAUAUAAUCACGUUCAGCUAAAAAUAGAAGAGGUAAGUCGUAACAAGGUAAGCAUACUGGAAAGUGUGCUUGGAUUAAU